rnacentral:rRNA from 1 species
UACGUAGGGUGCGAGCGUUAAUCGGAAUUACUGGGCGUAAAGCGUGCGCAGGCGGUUCGUUGUGUCGGUGGUGAAAGCCCCGGGCUCAACCUGGGAACUGCAUUGGUGACUGGCAGGCUAGAGUAUGGGCAGAGGGGGGUAGAAUUCCACGUGUAGCAGUGAAAUGCGUAGAGAUGUGGAGGAAUACCGAUGGCGAAGGCAGGCCCCCUGGGUCAAGAUUGACGCUCAUGCACGAAAGCGUGGGGAGCAAACAGG